GAAAUGCGAUAAGUAGUGUGAAUUGCAGAAUUCAGUGAAUCAUCGAAUCUUUGAACGCACAUUGCGCCCCUUGGUAUUCCAUGGGGCAUGCCUGUUCGAGCGUCAUUUGUACCCUCAAGCUCUGCUUGGUGUUGGGUGUUUGUCCCCGUCUCCGCGCGUGGACUCGCCCCAAAGUGAUUGGCAGCCGGCGUACUGGUCCCGGAGCGCAGCACAUGUCGCGCAAACGAGUGCCUUGGUACGGCGGCGUCCAUAAGCCCCUCUCUCACGCUCUUGACCUCGGAUCAGAUAGGGAUACCCGCUGAACUUAAGC
rnacentral:misc_RNA from 1 species